rnacentral:lncRNA from 1 species
AUGUAUCUCAGAAUACCCUAAAUUUAGAGGACAACUUCGCAAUGGCAAUCCGUUGUGGGACCUUAUUGAAGGACGGGAGGAAAAUGAAUUAUUGCACUAUACAAAAUUGUUAACCGGUAUUUGACCAUUACGACUUCUUCCCAUCCUUCAUAUAUCAAAGAAAAAACAAGUCAAUUUGUCUUCACUCUUCACUGGUAUUUCUUUGUGAUGGCAGGCCCUUAAUCAUCAUCUCCUUUUAAUUCAAACAUAAUGCUUAUGUGCAAAGAAGCAUGUUGUUUGCUUAUUUUUCUCGCAUGUCUUGUGAAGUGACAUGCUAUUUAUUGUAUUCAGGUUACAUCGGCUAUGGUUCCUUCCUUUUUAGAAUAGAAUUGCCGACAGAUGAUCACUCAAUCAUGUUCUUAUAUAUGGUAACCUUUUCUCACCAUCCAUUAUCCGUGCGGUUAUUCCUUUUGUACAAAAAUCUUACCAUUAGGGAAUACUGUUCACAACUGCUCUGCUAUUUGUGACUCGGUUCUAGGCGAUGAAGGCAAACUAUCUGUUUAUUAGGAUUUAAUAUUUGUUUACCAAGUGAAAGUAAUGAACCCAUUUCAACAUACUAAGUGUAUCUUUAUGAGAUCAAAUGCUUGGAAUUACGAGUAUGGUUUCAGCAUGUUUACAGAAAAAUGCAUUGUUUUACUCUACUCAUCCGUUAUUGACGACUUCUAUAAGGCCAUGUAUUUUGUUGAUAUUACUUCGAGGGUAACCUAUGGAUGAUGAUCGAGAAUCAGUUCUAAAUUCAAAUCAAGUGCAACUUUUCUCUGUAUUAGUACUGAAACCAUGAUAAUAUUCUCAGUGUAUGAUCCUACAAAUAAACCAUUGCAUUUCUCAUUCUUAGCAACAUUUGUAGAUCCUUAGCAACUCUUGCACUGUUACUGCAUCAUCAUGCAAGGUACUGUUUUGUAUUGGAUUUUGUUUCUCAUGCUUGCUAAAAAUUUCAUUCAUGUAUUUGAUUUCCUUUUCACUAUUAGAUGUUGAGAGCCUAAAGAAUGCACUAGAAUAGCGAUGUGAUGCUCACGGAAGAGGAGGUCAAGGAGGUAGAUGCGCUGAUAAUGCAUUGAUACAUGUAUGAUAUGUUCUCGCAAAAAGUUAGUGUAACAAAAAUCUCACACCAAGAUUUAAUUUUGGCAACUUAUUUUAUUGCCUGUAGCAGUGCAAAGACUUUUUGUUUCAGAAAUCAGUAGUAGUAUUUGAUUUGAUUUAAGUCUUAGUUCACGCAGGGGUGCGCAGCAAAUCGUCUUUCACUUGCAUCUCGUCAGUCGGUAAAUCUGCAGUUUUUGAAUGAGGUAUAUAGUCGAAUUGUUUGGUACAGUGUGCAAUAUGUUUGACACUCCUAAAUAUUAAUCAAUAUGAUGUAUCAGAAUACCCUAAAUUUAGAGGACAACUUCGCAAUGGCAAUCAGUUGUGGGACCUUAUUGAAGGACGGGAGGAAAAUGAAUUAUUGCACUAUACAAAAUUGUUAACCGGUAUUUGACCAUUACGACUUCUUCCCAUCCUUCAUAUAUCAAAGAAAAAACAAGUCAAUUUGUCUUCACUCUUCACUGGUAUUUCAUUGUGAUGGCAGGCCCUUAAUCAUCAUCUCCUUUUAAUUCAAACAUAAUGCUUUAUAUGCAAAGAAGCAUGCUAUUUGCUUAUUUUUCUCGAAUGUUUUGUUAAGUGACAUGCUAUUUAUUGUAUUCAGGUUACAUCGACUAUGGUUCCUUCCUUUUUAAAAUAGUGCUAUAAAUCGUCGACAUAUGAUCAAUCAGUCAUGUUCUUAUAUAUGGUAACCUUUUCUCACCAUGCAUUAUCCGUGCGGUUAUUUCUUUUGUACAAAAAUCUUACCAUUAGAGAAUACUAUUCACAACUGCUGCUGUUUGUGACUCGGUUCUAGGGGAUGAAAGCAAACUACCUGUUUAUUAGGAUUUAGUAUUUGUUUACCAAUAGAAAGUAAUGAACCCAUUUCAUCUUACUGAGUGUAUCUUUAUGAGAUCAAAUGGUUGUAAUUACAAAUAUGGCUUUCUCAACAUGUUUACAGAAAAAUGCAUUGUUUUACUCUACUCAUCCAUUAUUGACGACUUCUAUAAGGCCAUCUAUUUUGUUGAUAUUACUUCGAGGGAACAGGGUACACUACGGAUGAUGAUCGAGAAUCAGUUCUAAAUUCCAAUCAAGUGUAACUUUUGCCUGUAUUAUUACUGAAACCAUGAUAAUAUUCUCAGUGUAUGAUCCUACAAAUAAACCAUUGCAUUUCUCAUUCCUAGCAACAUUUUUAGAUCCUUAGCAACCCUUGCACUGUUACUGCAUCAUCAUGCAAGGUACUGUUUUGUAUUGGAUUUUGUUUCUCAUGCUUGCUAAAAAAUUCAUUCAUGUAUUUGUUUUCCUUUUCACUAUUAGAUGUUGAGAGCCUAAAGAAUGCACUAGAACUAUUAGAUGUUUUCCUUUUCACUAUUAGAUGUUGAGAGCCUAAAGUCAUCUGAUGGCUUUCAAGAGAGUGCAUUCGGCGGAGCAGGUGGCAUCCUAUUCCUCUCCUUAGAUGUCAUUGUCUAUUCUCGUGCGACCCUGACUACUCCGCGAUCUCCCGCCUGUGAUCCACCUGUGCAAGCAAAUUUUAUGGUACACUACUAUCUUGCUUCCCUCUCCUAUUGAUCCCAUUUGCUUAGUUCAUAGUUGUGUUUUUUUAUUUUUUAUUUUGUUCUUCAGCCAAGGAUAUCUCUUUAUUCUUGCGGCCAAGGCGGAAGAAGCCCUGGAUGCAAAUGGAGAGCCUCCUCUGCCAUCUCAGCAUCAGCCGUAGGACGACGCUACACCUUAGCGCGGUGGACAGCUCAAAGGCCGCUUCUGAUGAGAUCAUCAAUCUCAAAGAUAUGGACCUCUCGAACGACAAUGCCAUUGUUGUUGUAAAACAUGGUGAUGGUGUUUCAGUUGAAAUAGGAAAGGGCAGUCGACCCGAGGCUACCCUUAUUCAGGUUUCAAUACAGGGCAGUGCCUUUAUCGAUGGAAGCCGUAUCCUCUGACAUAAGUAACUUAUUCCUCCUUAUUUAUAUCUUAUAUCUUCAACUGCAAUGACAUCAAAACAGUGUCAGGAUUAUAGACAUGUAUCGUCAUUCGAAUAUUGUCCGAUGUGGAUCUUGUGAUGCCAGACAUCGGUCUAUAUCGCUCUUGUGACAUCAGACAUCAUGCUAUGGCUCUGAUGACACUGGCGAUGGAGCUGGGGCAAUAUUGUUAGGUUCUUAUGCUCAUAGUGAUGUGGUAUUGUCAUGUUCUAAGGAGAGAUUCAGAGAAAAUUAUAGAAGUUAGUAUUAAAUAAUGUUAUGUCAGAUUACAUGUUAGCUACACAGGUGUACCCUACAAGAAAUUACUUUACAAUAGAAAUGCAGGCACGUCCCUG